GUCCUCUAAACAGGGUAGGUAAGGCACAGGCGGGUGGCGGUGGUUGAGUGUUCGAUGGAGCCCUAGGAGAUUAAGAGGGGACGGGUUAGGUAUCUAGGGGUGGUUGGUCUCGGAGGGUACCGAAGGAAGCUUAGGUAGGGGAGGAGCUAGGUGGAGCGCUCGUCGUGAGUAGGCGGCGCGGAGAUCGAGGAGGACUCGUUCCCGGAGCGCGAGGACCCCGGACGUGGGAGAGCGAGGUCUUCUUCUCCUCGAAUGGCUCGAAGAGGAGUUGGGGUGGUCGGCUGCACCGGUACUGGCUCCGGUGGUCUCGUUCGGCAGCUGUCCGGUCGGGGAGCGCGGGGAGAGGGAGAAGGAAGAGGGACAGCAGUAGAGGAGGGAGAGAGAGAGAUUAAGGGUGGCACCGGCAGGAGCGUCCAUUGAGUCGAGGCUUGUCGCGGCGGGCCAGUACCUACGGCGGUACCUACGACUCGAGGAGUUAGGGCCACAGCAGGUCCGGGCAAAGGUCGGUCUAGGCUUGCGGUACAUGGAGCGGCGGGGAAGCGGGCGAGCGGCCUCGAGACGAGGGGCGGAAAGGGCGGCGGUUAAGACAGCGAGCCAUGGACAGCGACAGCAGAAAGAAGUCUCUGCUCGUCUCCUCGAGCGGGCCAGGUCGGCGUACGCAACUGGCGCUGGUUGAAGAGCUAGGCGGUCACGGAGCGGAGCUAGACCUCUCCGGGUCAGAGGAGCCGCGGGACGGAGGAGAGCGGACACGGUCGCGUGACUGAGUUCGGCCGGGUCGAAGGAACAACGCCGAACGACGAAGUAGUUGACCCGGAACAGGGUACCACCCAACGGGACGCGGGGAAGAAAAGGGGGGGAGGUAAACCCGAUCCGAUCGACAAAACCGGGCAUAGUGGAAAAAAAAGGUGUACUGCUAAAAGGAUAAAUAAGGUCUCAAACGUCUAAAUGUCUUUUUGGGGGAUCGCAAAUACGUAAAUUAUAGAGUGUUUGAUUCGUUGUGUACAUUUUUGAAACAUAUACUUUGAACGAAUCAAAAAGUAGAUCAAAGUAUUAUACAGAAAAAGUAGGUACAAAUUUUACAAAUUAUACGACAAACAAAUUAAAAAAAAUUUAUUGAACGAUUUUACAAAAUUAAGUAUUGAUUAAUUGGCAUCGAGGUUUAAAUUAUUUGAAGUAUACAUUUACCCCAUCUUAAAACGGAUCAAAUUGUACCACCGUAGUAGAACGUACAAAUUGUUGAAAUUUUAUACCGAAUCCCGUCUUGUCAUGGUUUAGAUAUUAUACGAGUACCCCAAAAUGGCCUUAACAACAAGCAACGAAGGCCGGAGUAAAUUUGAACUGAUCUAUCCAUCAAAAUGAAACGAAGUGGGAGAACGGUACGAUUGUUGUAAAUUAGAACAACCCAUGUAUUUGCUCUAGCUUGAUUUAUUGAACUUACACCUCAACGCGGUUAUACGUUGAGCAACGUAUAACUCGAGGUGAAUUAAAUAUCCUAACGAACACGUGAAACGGUACGGUACGAAGUAAUUUGGCCUGUACGUAGUAUGAACCAACACGUAGUACGGUACCAGUACACAACCAACAAAUGAUACAACAAACGAGGAAAGGCCACAACAAAGAAACCCAACCAAGGCUAUUGCAGCGCAACACUCCUUGGCAAGCUGAUGCUGGCAAACUGAAGAAGUACCUGAGCAAGAAGAAGGAACGCCAUAGAGUCGAACGUCCACGGCUACUCUGGCACGUCUACUGCGUUGGUUCGAGUCCUCCUCGAGCUACUUCUAGAACAGGAAACACAACGAAGCAAGAUCAACUAGUCAUCACCUCGGGUCAACCCCAGCUAGCCCCUGGCACAGGGUAGACCCCAACAAGAAAAUAAAACCAAGGCAUCAGCCUGGAACUAACAUAAACCUACAACAUUACGAAAUAAGUACAUUAACACACUUCACCUCUAACAUUCGGUUGGUACAUAGAGAAAGGGAAUACAUAAUGUACCCAACACACUUCUAAUGGAGUGAACGCUGUAACGAAAGUUACGCCAAUACGGAGAUUCAGCACGAAGCUGUACACCCUCUAUAUCGACGUAGCUCCCGCAAUGUUCAACCAUAGUCUCGGAAGGGGCUGGAAUCCUCGGGGGUAACGAACUAGCAAAAAUCGUCGGCAACAACUCAGAUCUUUUUACAAAACUCAGUAAAUCCUUAAUAUAUAGCCUCUCAAAUCCUUAAGAAAA
rnacentral:rRNA from 1 species